rnacentral:rRNA from 1 species
GUGGCGAACGGGUGAGUAACACGUGGGUGAUCUGCCCUGCACUUUGGGAUAAGCCUGGGAAACUGGGUCUAAUACCGAAUAGGAUCAUGCUCUUCAUGGGGUGUGGUGGAAGGCUUUUGCGGUGUGGGAUGGGCCCGCGGCCUAUCAGUUUGUUGGUGAGGUAAUGGCUCACCAAGACGACGACGGGUAGCCGGCCUGAGAGGGCGACCGGCCACACUGGGACUGAGACACGGCCCAGACUCCUACGGGAGGCAGCAGUGGGGAAUAUUGCACAAUGGGGGAAACCCUGAUGCAGCGACGCAGCGUGCGGGAUGACGGCCUUCGGGUUGUAAACCGCUUUCAGCAGGGAAGAAGCGCAAGUGACGGUACCUGCAGAAGAAGUACCGGCUAACUACGUGCCAGCAGCCGCGGUAAUACGUAGGGUACGAGCGUUGUCCGGAAUUAUUGGGCGUAAAGAGCUCGUAGGUGGUUGGUCACGUCUGCUGU